rnacentral:rRNA from 1 species
GAUGAACGCUGGCGGCGUGCUUAACACAUGCAAGUCGAACGGUGAAGGAGAGCUUGCUCUCCGGAUCAGUGGCGAACGGGUGAGUAACACGUGAGCAAUCUGCCCCUGACUCUGGGAUAAGCGCUGGAAACGGCGUCUAAUACCGGAUACGAGCCGCGAAGGCAUCUUCAGCAGCUGGAAAGAACUUCGGUCAGGGAUGAGCUCGCGGCCUAUCAGCUAGUUGGUGAGGUAAUGGCUCACCAAGGCGUCGACGAGUAGCCGGCCUGAGAGGGAGACCGGCCACACUGGGAAUGAGACACGGCCGAGACUCCUACGGGAGGCAGCAGUAGGGAAUAUUGCACAAUGGGCGCAAGCCUGAUGCAGCAACGCCGCGUGAGGGACGACGGCCUUCGGGUUGUAAACCUCUUUUAGCAGGGAAGAAGCGAAAGUGACGGUACCUGCAGAAAAAGCACCGGCUAACUACGUGCCAGCCGCCGCAGUAA